rnacentral:misc_RNA from 1 species
GAACUAUCUAACAAUAACCCCUCUUGAUUUUGUAUAUUCUGUUAUUGUAGCAAGUCAGUUUAUGUCCUCCCUAACCAUUACCCAUUGGGGGAUUUUGGACAUAUUUUGUGCUAUUUCAAGGGAACACCAAGGCAUAUGGUCUUUUGUAUAGGAAUCACAAACAUUCAAAUAUUUAGUGUUUCUCAUAUGCAGACUAGGCAGGUUUGAAGGUUGACAAAAGGUUAACGACAGGGUAUUGUAUUUUUGUUGGAGGAAAC